AGACAUCUUAAACAGCUGCAAUAUCAGGCUUGGCCACUGAGCACUGGUGGAUUACAAAACAAGUAUGCAAUGCUCCUGGGGACCUGCUUGUGCAGAGCGAACUCAAAUUGCCGGCAGAAUGGGCGGGGCUACCCAGUCUACGCAGAUCGAGGAGUGGCCAUGGACCAAGCCCCAUAGACCUAUUAAAGAACGAAGCGGCUAGGUCAAUGGCAUGAACCUAUAAAGAAAGGGAGUGGCUCAACGUGGGUGGAGCUAAAUGUUUGGCUUUGCACCGGAAGACGAAGAAUGUGCGUCCGACUCCAAGGCCAUAGUAUUGUGUGCUUUUCUGCUUAGAGCUACUUUGAUAGACCUUGUGUUGUGUGUGCGUUUGACACGUGUCCCGCAGCCGUACCGCCCGCUACAUGGAGCACCACAUACUGGGCCGGAAGCCUCUCAUGCUCUCCACGGUCAAGCCCAGGCUGAUUUACUCCCUCUUCCUGAGGCCAUCCCUUAUGAGGGAAAUGUGAGACACAUCAGUAUACUCUCGGAUGGUGAUACACCAACCAUUAAUAAAUGCACCAACCGUGAACUUUUCCACUGUCCCUUCUGCAAAUAUGUGGGUGCAAUAUAUAUGGUUGACAACCAUAUAAAAGGCCAUUCUUCAGUAAAACAUAAAGGGUUCACAAUGAUCAAGUGUGGAUUAAGUUGUCGGACGGCAACGCAUUUUCAUUGUUGCUAUUGUACAGCAACAAUUAUAAAUCGAUUGCAAUUUACAAAGCACUUACUAAUACACCAGGGGAAGGGGCAUGCUGCAGCCCCCGCACGGCACUCUGUGGCCCCUGUGCAGCAGUCUGUGGCCCCCGCUCAUCACCCAUUGGUCCCCGCUCAGUACCAAGAGGCCGCCGCUCAUCACCCAUUGGCCCCCCCCGCUCAGCACCCAUUGGCCCCCACUCAGCACCCAGAGGCCCCGGCUCAGCACCCAGAGGCCCCGGCUCAGCACCCAGCAGCCCCCACUCAACACCCAUUGGCCCCGCUCAGCACCCAUUGCCCCCAGCUCAGCACCCAUUGGCCCCAACUCAUCACCCAGAGGCCCCCACUCAGCACCCAGAGGCCCCCACUCAUCACCCAGAGGCCCCCACUCAUCACACACAGGCCCCACUCAUCACCCAGAGGCCCCCACUCAUCACCCAGAGGCCCCCACUCAUCACCCAGAGGCCCCCACUCAUCACACACAGGCCCCCACUCAUCACACAGAGGCCCCACUCAUCACACAGAGGCCCCCACUCAUCACACAGAGGCCCCCACUCAGCACCCAUUGGCCCCAACUCAUCACCCAGAGGCCCCACUCAGCACCCAUUGGCCCCAACUCAUCACCCAGAGGCCCCCACUCAUCACCCAGAGGCCCCCACUCAUCACCCAGAGGCCCCCACUCAUCACCCAGAGGCCCCCACUCAUCACCCAGAGGCCCCCACUCAUCACCCAGAGGGCCCCACUCAUCACACACAGGCCCCCACUCAUCACACACAGGCCCCCACUCAUCACACACAGGCUCCUGCAGAGUGUUCCGAGGCCACUAAAGCAUCUAGUAAACAAAAUAAACUCUGUUGUCCUCAUUGCAAGAUGAUUUUAAGCAAAAAAAACUUCAAAACACACUGCAGGAGAAAACACCCCCACCAAUUUGAGACGGACACUUGGCGUGAAUGAUGUCAAGGGUCUGAAGAUGACAGAUUUCUGGACAGAAAAAGGCGACAAGAGCAAGGAGGCCAACAGGAUUUGGAAGUGGUCCCUCCAAAACCAAUUCAGCUAUUCAAAGCUAUUUCUGAAGCAUCAGAGGAAGCUGAGUACUUGACAGAACUGGGAACAGGGUAUGUUUCUCCAACCUUUAAUAGGGCCUGAGCACCAUGAAAGAUCAAACAUGUUCAAUGAUUCAAAGUCUGCUGUCACUGGUUUAUUUGACUAAGCUAAUAUAGUUGAUUGUACAAAAUAACAUGUCUAUGUAUAUAUUGUUUGUCACUCUCAGGUAAAUGCUAUGGUGUAUAUCUUUUUUAUCAUUAUAGGCAGCAUGAAUGAAAUAAUGCACAGUAAAAAAACAUUUGACAAGUUAAAGGUAGG
ensembl:lncRNA